UGGGGAAUUUUGGACAAUGGGCGCAAGCCUGAUCCAGCCAUGCCGCGUGCAGGAUGACGGUCCUAUGGAUUGUAAACUGCUUUUUGUACAGGAAGAAACAGUUCUACGUGUAGAACCUUGACGGUACUGUAAGAAUAAGGAUCGGCUAACUCCGUGCCAGCAGCCGCGGUAAUACGGAGGAUCCAAGCGUUAUCCGGAAUCAUUGGGUUUAAAGGGUCCGUAGGCGGUUAGAUAAGUCAGUGGUGAAAGCCCAUCGCUCAACGGUGGAACGGCCAUUGAUACUGUCUGACUUGAAUUAUUAGGAAGUAACUAGAAUAUGUAGUGUAGCGGUGAAAUGCUUAGAGAUUACAUGGAAUACCAAUUGCGAAGGCAGGUUACUACUAAUGGAUUGACGCUGAUGGACGAAAGCGUGGGUAGCGAACAGGAUUAGAUACCCUAGUAGUCCCUGAGCGGGCUGGCAAGGCGCAU
rnacentral:rRNA from 1 species